CCUACGGGAGGCAGCAGUGGGGAAUAUUGCACAAUGGGGGGAACCCUGAUGCAGCGACGCCGCGUGAGUGAAGAAGUAUUUCGGUAUGUAAAGCUCUAUCAGCAGGGAAGAAAAUGACGGUACCUGACCAAGAAGCCCCGGCUAACUACGUGCCAGCAGCCGCGGUAAUACGUAGGGGGCAAGCGUUAUCCGGAUUUACUGGGUGUAAAGGGAGCGUAGACGGUUAUGCAAGUCUGAAGUGAAAGCCCAAGGCCCAACCAUGGGACUGCUUUUGAAACUGUAAAACUGGAGUGCAGGAGGGGUAAGCGGAAUUCCUAGUGUAGCGGUGAAAUGCGUAGAUAUUAGGAGGAACACCAGUGGCGAAGGCGGCUUACUGGACUGUAACUGACGUUGAGGCUCGAAGGCGUGGGGAGCAAACAGGAUUAGAUACCCUGGUAGUC
rnacentral:rRNA from 1 species